GACGAACGCUGGCGGCGUGCUUAACACAUGCAAGUCGAACGGAAAGGCCCUGCUUUUGUGGGGUGCUCGAGUGGCGAACGGGUGAGUAACACGUGAGUAACCUGCCCUUGACUUUGGGAUAACUUCAGGAAACUGGGGCUAAUACCGGAUAGGAGCUCCUGCUGCAUGGUGGGGGUUGGAAAGUUUCGGCGGUUGGGGAUGGACUCGCGGCUUAUCAGCUUGUUGGUGGGGUAGUGGCUUACCAAGGCUUUGACGGGUAGCCGGCCUGAGAGGGUGACCGGCCACAUGGGGACUGAGAUACGGCCCAGCCUCCUCCGGGGGGAAGCGGGGGGGAAUAUUGCACAAGGGGCGGAAGCCUGAUGCAGCAACGCCGCGGGCGGGAUGACGCCCUUCGGGUUGUAAACCGCUUUCGCCUGUGACGAGGCGUGAGUGACGGUAAUGGGUAAAGAAGCACCGGCUAACUACGU
rnacentral:rRNA from 1 species